ensembl:lncRNA
GCAGAUGCUAAUUUCCUAUCUAAUGUUUUGAAAUAUUUCAAUGAAUGACAACAGUGACUUGAAGGUCCAAAAGUGUUCAAUACAUGUUGGGGAUGUUAUUCUUGAGCAGUGCUGUUUCUGCGUGUGAACAGAAAGCGUCUCUGGUGUUUUCCUGAUAUGUCUGAUGUCAGUCGAGUUUUUGUGGUGCUGAUUCUCAUUUCAUGUUCAUGCCGCUGACCUCCUUUCAUGCUUGUAACUUGUGUGCAUUACUUCAAAGCAACUCUCACAUUUUCACCCACUUUAAGAGUGACUAUUUUUGGUCUGAAGGAGGUUUAUUAUUCAAGACCCACGCUGUGCCCAGCUAGGCAUGGAUCGACUGUGCAGUAGAAUCGUUGUUCUUUUACUCACUGGAGUGUUGAUCACCAGUACAAGUCCAGAGGAACUCGAAGUCUAUUUGGAACCAAAGUACAUUGAAGUCUAUGAAGGAGACUCAGUCACGAUCAACUGCACUUUUCAGCCCGGUGAAAAUUAUAAACUGAGGUGGUACUACAGUCCGACUGAUUUAGACUGUAACUCUGGAACAGAAGGAUUACAUGAAAAAAGUUUUAAUAAUACAGAAAAUAAAGACACUUGGUCAAUAUUCACCAUUAAUUCCAUCAAAACCAGUGAGAGUGGAUGGUACUUCUGCAAGGUUAUAAAAGAUAUUCCUGUUCUCUUAGAAAAAUGCAGUAAUGGAGCACAAGUUCUGGUCGAUGCCAACAGCACCCAGGAAUAUCCAAAACAGCCACAGAUGCAGAAUCCAACUACACAAGAUUACCCCACAACUUGCUUGAUCAGUGCCACAACAAUCCUCACAACAUCCUCCUCACCACCGUCCAGCAUUGGUCAGUGGUGGAUAUGGCUAGCGUCGGCAGCUGGAUGCGUAGUACUAGUUGUGUCAAUUGUUGUCAUAUGUAUCGUGACUCGCAAUCCGAAAGAGAACAUCUAUAUGAACACCAAACCAGUGGAAUCGAGCUGCUGGAGGCAAAACCGGACUAAGAGGGACAUCUGCGACCUGCCUGAGUCCAAAAAGACUGACACCAUUAAACCGCUGAGGAAGUACGACACACUUUCAAGCAACAGAAUCCGCAGGCCAUAAGUAUUCCAUAUGAAAGAAUUAUCCCCUGAAAACACAUUAAAUAUCUUAUAUUACAUGCCUUAUCAUGGACAUAUAUUUAAUUUUGUACUGUAGCAUUUCCCAAGAUGGGAAGAUGUAAAUAUAAAGCUGAUUUUUUUUUUUUUUUCAGAAAGAGAUAGCCUACAUGAGAAAAGCUGAUUUUUUUUUUCCUUUCAAGACUUACAUUCAGUGGUUACAAAUAAAUGUGAAAACAACAAAAAGAAAAAUCUGCCA